rnacentral:rRNA from 1 species
UACGUAGGGGGCAAGCGUUGUCCGGAUUUAUUGGGCGUAAAGCGCUCGCAGGUGGUCCGAUGCGUCGUGCGUGAAAGACCCCGGCUCAACUGGGGAGUGUCGUGCGAUACGGUAGGACUGGAGGCCAGUAGGGGGAUGUGGAAUUCCGGGUGUAGUGGUGGAAUGCGUAGAGAUCCGGAGGAACACCGGCGGCGAAGGCGGCAUCCUGGACUGGUCCUGACACUCAGGAGCGAAAGCGUGGGGAGCGAUCCGG